rnacentral:rRNA from 1 species
AGAGGGGUGCGAGCGUUAAUCGGAAUUACUGGGCGUAAAGGGCGCGUAGGUGGAUUGGUCAGUCAGAUGUAAAAGCCCUCGGGCUUAACCGAGGAAUGCCAUCUGAUACUGCCCUUUCUAGAGUACAAAAGAGGGAAGUGGAAUUUCCGGUGUAGCGGUGAAAUGCGUAGAUAUCGGCAGGAACACCAGUGGCGAAGGCGGCUUCCUGGUUUGAUACUGACACUGAGGCGCGAAAGCGUGGGGAGCAAACAGGAUUAGAUACCCUGGUAGUCCACGCCGUAAACGAUAAGAACUAGCUGAUGGGGCUUAUAAGCUUCAGUAGCGCAGCUAACGCAUUAAGUUCUCCGCCUGGGGAGUACGGCCGCAAGGUUA